UGACUUUGUACAGAAAUCAGGAAGAUGCUUUGAAAGAAACACUGUGCAAUGAAAGUGCCACUGAUGUGUCUAGCAUUGACAUGCUUUUGGCUGCAAAGACUUGAGCCCACACGUUGCCUGAAACCUUCAGUCCUUUGAAGCUGUGAUUUCAAGACCCAGAUGUUGACAGCUGCUCAGAAUGCUUCUCAGGAAGAGGCUGGGACUUCCAAGACCCCAUUCCUGGGUUGGGUGAUGAGUGGUUCUGAUACUGUGAAAACUCACAAAAGACUAUGUAAUGAUACCAACCACGUGAGACUAUUUUGAGAAUUAAAUGAGUUAAUAUAUGCAAGAUUUGUGCCACAUUUGCUGUACUUACUUGAAUUCAGCUCCCUGGGGCAGGGACUAAAGGGUAAGCCAAGAAGGCUGACAGAAGCUCAGCAAAAACAUCUGGAGGGAUGGAGGCUGGGGAUAGAGGGAGGAGAGGCAACCAUAUCGGCCAACAUUCUGUCUCCUUUCACUCUUUCUACUUCCUUUUGUUCAGACAGUUCAUUUUAGUGAGGCCUCAGGCAUUUUUGAAAUUCUGCAGCGUGGGGAGCUGCCAGGGUCAGCCUUUCUGUUCUUUCAUGUCUGAGCAUAUGUGACAGUUUUUCAGAGAAUAUAUAUAAGAGAAUGUUCCAUUCUCUAGUUGGGCUUUCAUCCAAGGUAUAGAUUUUCAGAGCUGUGGACACAGCCACUGAAAUAGCACUCACAUGCCCCGGCACAGGAUGGGGCAGCAGCUUUUAUCUCAGUAGGCUCUGGUUAGAAUGGUCUUUUCAUAAUGAUAAACCUUUGAACAACAGGGAGUGUACCGAGGAUCAACAUCAUCUUGAUAGAGUCCCAUAGUGUCUCAAAGUGGGGAGGUUAGGAUGCUGGUUAGUCAUGGAGUAUUUUCAGAGUGGAAGUUGAUCAGUGACGUUUUGUCAGGGAUUGAUCCAAUUUAUAAACUAG
rnacentral:lncRNA from 10 species